rnacentral:rRNA from 1 species
AUUGAACGCUGGCGGCAGGCCUAACACAUGCAAGUCGAACGAGUGGCGGACGGGUGAGUAAUGUAUGGGAAACUGCCUGAUGGAGGGGGAUAACUAGUGGAAACGGUAGCUAAUACCGCAUACCAUCAGAUGUGCCCAGAUGGGAUUAUCGGGUGGGUGGGGUAACGGCUCACCAAGGCGACGAGCCCUAGCUGUUCUGAGAGGAUGACCCGCCACACUGGAACUGAGACACGGUCCAGACUCCUCCGGGAGGCAGCAGUGGGGAAGAUUGCACAAUGGGCGCAAGCCUGAUGCAGCCAUGCCGCGUGUAUGAAGAAGGCCUUCGGGUUUUAAAGUACUUUCAGCGGGGCGGCGUUACCCGCAGAAGAAGCACCGGCUAACUCCGUGCCAGCAGCCGCGGUAAUAC